GGGCUGUAGUUUAGUUGAAAAUUUGUAUGUUGCAUGUAUGAGAGAAAAAGCUCUA
rnacentral:tRNA from 1 species